AAAAUAAAAUAAAAUAAAAUAAAAGGCUAAUCAUCGGCUACCAUGUCAGCCAGAAAAGUAGAAGCAAACAAAUGACAUGCCGUUUGGAGGACAUAUUCCCUACGUGGAUCUAUUAGAAAAAGAGGGCCCAUCUUGGAAAGUAUCAUCGUAAAGUUUUGUUAGUGAGACCGAGAUCCCCUCACCAGAAAAAUGAAAGAAUAGGUCCCAAGUCGAUGAUUCAUUCAAAGAUCUAGCAAGUGUGCCGGGGAGGAAGCUUGCCUUCUUUCUUAUUAUAGAAAGGGGAAAAAAAGACGAAUGUGCUUAUGAAUGAAAUGACAUAAGAGAACAAAUGUCCGUAGGCGAUCCAGUCACAAACUCCCUUUUCGAAAUAGGGGAGAGGGAGUAGCCGACACACCUUUUUUUUUUGGUCAUCGGAGGUUGGGAUACGGGUGGAACUCCACAAAUUUAAAAGGGAGUGACUGACUUUAGUUCCAACAAUUGGAAUUUCAUCGUGAUUGAUUUGGUUGGCUUGAACGCUACUCUAUCUAUGCCUAGUUCAGUUACAUACAAGGAUCUCAUCUGCUCUAGCAGCAGCUCAACGCUUCAGGAAAAAAGCAAGCUUAAGCGAAGAGCAUUGUCUAAUAUAAGCUAAUCACUAGCGAACACGUAAAACAAGAUUACCGAAGUUUGAAUGCCAAGCCCUUUUCCUAAGAAAGUGAAUUCCGAUCUAUGUUAAUCACGAAAGAAGCAAAUGCGGUGACCGGCUCUAUGAGCUAUACUAUAAAUACAUACAUACAUAGUUUUUCACUAGGGUUUUUUACCGAAUUGUUCACACGUCAGAAGAGUGGCUUUCUGGUGUUAUAUUAUUUCUAUCUUAUUAUUUCUUUUUUCUUGGGAUUAUUCUUUUCCUUCUCAAAUAUAUAUUUUCAAGGUUUAGAAUUGAAUGAUUAGAGUACCCACUCCGCGGUAAUAAAUAGGAAUUAUCUCGUUAACCCUAUCAUCAGUCAAAAUCUAUACCAAGGGAAAUGCUUUUAGUCUUUGAGUCACAGGAGGAUGCAACUAAUAAAAGAAAGAUU
rnacentral:misc_RNA from 1 species